GUGGAAAAGGCCGCUCGGUCGAGAUUGCGCGCGGUUUGACUCUUUUCACCAACAAUAAUCUGGUGCCCAACAUUGGGCCUCAGAGAAGACUCAGGACCCUGAAGGAGUUGCCCAAAACUGGAGCUAAGGUACCAGCAGGAGCCCAUUGAAGCCUCACCGAAUUCGAGCUUCUCCUUCGGUGGAACUGGUGGACAACAAAAGGAAGAGGAACAUGAC
rnacentral:lncRNA from 1 species